rnacentral:lncRNA from 1 species
CUUCUGUGACUUCCCAGGCCACGGAAAAGGUUCAGAAGUAGAUUCUGGUGCAGUUGGCUGUAAGUGGAACAGGACACACUGGCACAUCCUUUUCCCACCAAACCACAGAAAAACAUUUUUAAGUGAAGGUUGAAGAAAUGGCAAUUUACAGAUGCCAGAAGAAAGGAUAAAAAUCAAGGCAAGAUAAGAAAAAAGGAGGCUGAUGUUCUGCUGGUCCACUUGGUUUACUGGCUUCUCUGUCUGAUUGUGCCUAACUCUGACACUGUGCCUUCCCUCUAGACACUGUAGAUGAUGUUUAGUCCUAGCUCAAUCAGUCUCUCCCUUUGCACAUUUCCGUUACAACCCUGCUCAUGUGCUCAAGAUAUUGCUCCUGCUACUCUCCCCUCUCUUCUGCAUCAACAGUUCUUUCUCAUCUACUGGACAAUUCGCAUCAGCCUACUAUCAUACACAAAUACCCCCACCUUUAAAAACCCCUCCCUUGGUCCCACACUAGUCUUCAGAUUCCAUCCCAUUUUUUGCUCCCCUUGACAGCAAAAACCUCCAAAGAGUAUCUGUACUCAGUGUAUUUUCUCUUCACCCAUCAGCAAAAUUUGACUUAGUUACCAUCUCCUCCUGGAAACAGCUUCUUCACCUGGCAUCCAAGUACCUCUCUAUUCUCCUACCUCAUCAAGAACUUCUGCUUUGCUGAUUCUUCAUCCCCUUGAUAUCCAAACAUAGCAAUGUCCCAAGGCUCAGUUCUCAGGUCCACCAAGCACUCUCCCACUUCACAGCCCUUGUAUUUGCAGCCCUUUCUGCCUGUAAGCUCUCUCAACCCUCUUAUCCUCCUGACCCCAGGUCUCUUCAAAUAUUUACCAUCUCAGUUUUCUUUCUUAAUCUCUCUAUAUAAAAAACUACAUCAAAAUCUUUUUCCCUUAUCUUGCUUUAUUUUUUCUCCAUAGCAUUUAGCACCAGCUGAUAUAUUACCAUGUUUAUUUGUUUGCUGUUUGUCCUACUAGAAUGCUAGUUUUUUGAAGGCAAGGGCUCUGUCUGCUUGGUUCCUGCUGUUGGCCACUUCGUAACCCAGAUUCUGGCACAUAACAGACCCUUGCUACAUAUUUGUUGAAUAGCUGAACUCUUAGACACAAUAUCCUAAGACUUUGAUAGAGAUCUUACUUCUGAUAGAUUGUUCUUUCCUGCAACAAUACUGAUUCCUAUAUAAAUCUGGGGAAGGAAGAAAAGGUGACUGAUCACUUUUUACCUCUCAUCUUUUGCCAAGGUAAGGUUUUUUGUGGUUGUUAAAUCUGAAUAUAAUUAAAUUAAAAACUUUGGAUACCCGAGGCAGCUAACUUUGUUUAAAAACUUGCUAGUGGUAGAGAGAGAAACUUCUAAUCUCGAAAUCAAAUGAUCUAUUUUAGAACCAUGAAGCAAAGUCCCCUAAAUCUGUAAUAUGUGCAUUAAUACAACACACAUGGACACACACAAACAUGCAAACACAAGAAUGUCACCUAUAUUACACAAAUAAUAACAGGGAAACAAGUGGUUGAUACAGAUCAAGCCCAUAGAGAAAUUGAUCAAGCAAACUUUAGUCUGGGAAGGCUUUUUUUGUGGGGGGAAACUUUUUGAGUGUAAUGAAUUGGUAACAAAGGUAUGUAAGAUGUCUUGUCUGAAAACUCAGGAAGAGAAGGACUGGAGGCAGAGAAAUUCUGUAUGAUCAAAAUUCACACUACAGGAAGCCAAAAUUAGGUAUAAUAUAAUAAUGGAUCAUAACUCAUUGAAUAAAAUGAGUUGAAUAAAAGAAUCAAUGAGUGCACUCAAAUAUAAACAAAUAAAUGAAGGAAAAAGGAAAUCUUUCUUAUAGUAGAAUACAAAUAAUAAAUAUAAAAGGAGAAUGAUGAAUUAGAAAACCAUCAAUGGAUGCUUAAUUUAAGGAGUGAAAAUUUUAUGAGAAAUAAGAUACUUAAAGAGUCUCAAAGUAUCACUCUGCAGAUUACUUGUUAAUUACAAAAAGAAAAAUAAUAACACUACAGGAGAA